AACGUAGGUGGCAAGCGUUAUCCGGAUUUACUGGGCGUAAAGCGUGUGCAGACGGGGCUUCAAGUGGUGUAUGAAAUCGCUCGGCUCAACCGGGCGCGGGUAUGCCAGACUGGAGUGCUAGAGGGUGCGAGAGGGACGUGGAAUUCCGGGUGUAGUGGUGAAAUGCGUAGAGAUCCGGAGGAACCCCUGAGGCGAAGGCGGCGUCCUGGCGCACUUCUGACGUUCGGACACGACAGCAUGGGGAGCGAACGGG
rnacentral:rRNA from 1 species